GUCGAACGCUGAAGCACUCUGCUUGCAGAGUGCGGAUGAGUGGCGAACGGGUGAGUAACACGUGGGAAAUCUGCCUAGGAGUGGGGGAUAACAUUCGGAAACGGAUGCUAAUACCGCAUAUCUUCAUAGACCGCAUGGUCUAUGAAUGAAAGACGGCUUUGCUGUCGCUCUUAGAUGAUCCCGCGGCGUAUUAGUUAGUUGGUGGGGUAAAGGCCUACCAAGACAAUGAUACGUAGCCGACCUGAGAGGGUGAUCGGCCACACUGGGACUGAGACACGGCCCAGACUCCUACGGGAGGCAGCAGUAGGGAAUCUUCCACAAUGGGUGCAAACCUGAUGGAGCAAUGCCGCGUGAAUGAAGAAGGUCUUCGGAUCGUAAAGUUCUGUUAUUAGUGAAGAACAAAUCGAGGAGUAACUGUCUCGAUUUUGACGGUAACUAACCAGAAAGUCACGGCUAACUACGUGCCAGUAGCCGCGGUAAUACGGAGGAUCCGAGCGUUAUCCGGAUUUAUUGGGUUUAAAGGGUGCGCAGGCGGAAUAUUAAGUCGGCGGUGAAAGUUUGCAGCUUAACUGUAAAAUUGCCGUUGAAACUGGUUUUCUUGAGUGUAUAUGAAGUAGGCGGAAUUUGUAGUGUAGCGGUGAAAUGCAUAGAUAUUACAAGGAACUCCGAUUGCGAAGGCAGCUUACUAAAAUACAACUGACGCUCAGGCACGAAGGCGUGGGUAUCAAACAGGAUUAGAUACCCUGGUAGUCCACGCAGUAAACGAUGAUUACU
rnacentral:rRNA from 1 species